GCAGCUUCCACAUUACUGACGGUGUUGAGGAAAUCUUCCUGCAGGUCGACUCGUUCGCUGUAUUUUCUACAACAAGUCGUCUCUUUUCAUCCUGAGUUCAUCUCAUGUUCCUCAGCUGAAGCAGCUGCACACAUGUGAAGCUCCUCUGAGCCCCAGGCAGAGGGAGCUGGCUUCAGAGCGCCCCCUGCUGGAGGAAAGUGGGCAUGGCUCUCUUGUCGACCUGCUGGCGCCUCAUGCGGACGACGGCUGCGUCCACCUGAGCUGCCGCUGUCUUGCCGUGCAGGUCGUCCAGCAGCUGCAGACAGGUGCGCUGCAGCCUCACCAGCUCGCCUUCAGAGGCCUGUCGGUGUCGCCUCAGCAACACGCUGCCCUGAAAGACACACCGGAAACACAUCUCCACGUGGGUUUGGAAACAGUGAUCACCUGAAUGAGCUGAGCAGCCUCAGGUAACUGAGUCCCCGGAUGUCUCUGGUAAACCUGCACCACAGGCCUGUUGAGCUUCUCUCUGGACAGUAUGUCUCCACUGUACUCUGGACCCUGAAGGCAAAAUAAAAUGCAAAAAUUAACAGGCCAUCGUUGACGGAGCGAUGAGCAGCUUUCUGCCUGCUGAUGGCGCCGGUUAGCAUCCGUCUGAUGUUUUCCCUCAGCAGCUGUGACUGCUUCACUGUCUGAGUGGACGACUCUAAAACCUGUUUACACUCUGCAAGAACACAUGGGAACUGUGAGAUGAACCCAAGCAGGAACCAUCCAACAACAACCUGAACUCCUGUCCCUGAAUUGAACUCUCUGAACUCUCUUUCUGAGCUUUUUUGCCUCAUUUUUUUUCUCACUGUUGGAUCAUUUUUCACUGCAAAAGAAAGUCCUGUGUCUCUAUGGAUACAGCACAGCCAUGACUAGCAAGAGAGAAAACUCAGAAAUUUCUUCUGUGGAGUAUGACACAGUUAUAAUGACACAAAUCAGAAAAAAAACAUAGUCACAUUUCUUUGAAUAAUUAUUGGGUGGGACACUACAGCAAGCUUCACUUCUUCAGUUUUAUGCUCUAUACAGACUGAUAUUUUUAAUUUGGAUCCACUGUUUUCUGUUAAUUUUGACUUUUUUUAAGGGGAUGUAUUUGAAAAAUUUGUGGUUUGAAGUCAGCUUUUCUAGUGAUGCUCCAUUUGAUGUUUGUAAAAUGAACUCUACUUCUUUGGUGUCGUCCUGUGCAGUCUGUCCUUGCCUGCUGUCCAGGGCGUACCUGGUGU